UACAGAGGUGGCAAGCGUUGCUCGGAAUUACUGGGCGUAAAGGGCGCGUAGGCGGCCUUCUAAGUCAGACGUGAAAUCCCCCGGCUUAACCUGGGAACUGCGUCUGAUACUGGAGGGCUUGAGUGCGGGAGAGGGAUGUGGAAUUCCAGGUGUAGCGGUGAAAUGCGUAGAUAUCUGGAGGAACACCGGUGGCGAAGGCGGCAUCCUGGACCGACACUGACGCUGAGGCGCGAAAGCUAGGGUAGCAAACGGG
rnacentral:rRNA from 1 species